UACGUAGGUGACAAGCGUUGUCCGGAUUUACUGGGCGUAAAGCGUAUGCAGGCGGACUUUUAAGUCGGGGGUGAAAUCCCGAGGCUCAACCUCGGAACUGCCUUCGAUACUGGAAGUCUUGAGUCCGGGAGAGGUGAGUGGAACUCCGAGUGUAGAGGUGAAAUUCGUAGAUAUUCGGAAGAACACCAGUGGCGAAGGCGGCUCACUGGCCCGGUACUGACUCUGAGAUACGAAAGCGUGGGUAGCAAACAGG
rnacentral:rRNA from 1 species